rnacentral:pre_miRNA from 1 species
AUUAUACUCCCUCCGUCCCAAAAUUCUUGUCUUAAAUUUGUCUAGAUACGGAUGUAUCAAGUCACAUUUUAGUAUUAGAUACAUCCGUAUCUAGACAAAUCUAAGACAAGAAUUUCAGGACGGAGGGAGUAUCAU